CAUUGUACGGAUGCAUUCACUGAUAGGAUGUCAGUGACAAAGGAGUGCGAUGGACACCUCGAGGAUGAGGCAGGACUGUAUCAGGAUGAUACAAGGGACACCGCUCAAGGAACAAGUGAUGUGUGCUGACGGGGAUUGUUAGCGUUCAGGAAGAUUAGGACACCGCUAGGAAGGCGAAGUAAGGAAUGUACUGAAGGACUCAGUCGCUAUUAAGGAAGAUGCAAGGAGCAUUUUUGUAGCCGGACUGCUGCGAGUAAGACUAUAGCCCCGAUACGCAAGUGUCGGGGCUUUCUUAAUUA
rnacentral:other from 1 species